CCACGCGAUACAGGGUGAUAGCCCCGUAGUCGAAAUCUGAUUGGUGUGAAAUCGAGUAGGUCGGGGCACGUGAAACCUUGACUGAAGACGGGGGGACCAUCCUCCAAGGCUAAAUACUCCUGACUGACCGAUAGUGAACCAGUACCGUGAGGGAAAGGCGAAAAGAACCCCGGAGAGGGGAGUGAAAUAGAUCCUGAAACCGUAUGCGUACAAGCAGUGGGAGCAGACUCGUUCUGUGACCGCGUACCUUUUGUAUAAUGGGUCAGCGACUUAUUUUCAGUGGCGAGCUUAACCGUAUAGGGGAGGCGUAGAGAAAUCGAGUCUUAACUGGGCGACCAGUCGCUGGAAAUAGACCCGAAACCGGGCGAUCUAUCCAUGAGCAGGUUGAAGAUUGAGUAACAUCAAUUGGAGGACCGAACCAGGAUCUGUUGAAAAAGAUUUGGAUGACUUGUGGAUCGGAGUGAAAGGCUAAUCAAGCCCGGAGAUAGCUGGUUCUCCUCGAAAGCUAUUUAGGUAGCGCCUCACGUAUCACCGCCGGGGGUAGAGCACUGUUUCGGCUAGGGGGUCAUCCCGACUUACCAACCCGAGGCAAACUCCGAAUACCGGUGAGUGCAGCGUGGGAGACACACAGCGGGUGCUAACGUCCGUUGUGAAAAGGGAAACAACCCAGACCGUCAGCUAAGGUCCCAAAAUCCUGAUUAAGUGGGAAACGAUGUGGGAAGGCUCAGACAGCUAGGAGGUUGGCUUAGAAGCAGCCAUCCUUUAAAGAAAGCGUAAUAGCUCACUAGUCGAGUCGGCCUGCGCGGAAGAUGUAACGGGGCUAAAUCAGGUACCGAAGCUACGGGUUCAUCGAAUGAUGAGCGGUAGAGGAGCGUCGUGUAAGCCAAUGAAGGUGUGUUGAGAAGCAUGCUGGAGGUAUCACGAGUGCGAAUGCUGACAUGAGUAACGACAAGGGGAGUGAAAAACUCCCCCGCCGGAAGACCAAGGGUUUCUGUUCGACGCUAAUCGGAGCAGAGUGAGUCGGCCCCUAAGGCGAGGCCGAAAGGCGUAGUCGAUGGGAAACGGGUCAAUAUUCCCGUACUUCACAGUAUUGCGAUGGGGGGACGAAGAAGGCUAGGUGAGCCAGGCGUUGGUUGUCCUGGUGAAAGUCUGUAGGCCGAGG
rnacentral:rRNA from 1 species